rnacentral:rRNA from 1 species
ACAUGCAAGUCGAACGCAGUAGCAAUACUGAGUGGCAAACGGGUGAGUAUAAUGUGGGAAUCUGCCUUUUGGUUUGGAAUAACACGGGGAAACUUGUGCUAAUACCGAAUAAGCCCUUACGGGGAAAGUUUUAAUGCCGAAAGAUGAGCCCGCACUUGAUUAGCUAGUUGGUAAGGUAAAAGCUUACCAAGGCUACGAUCAAUAGCUGUUCUUAGAGGAAGACCAGCCACAUUGGGACUGAGACACGGCCCAGACUCCUACGGGAGGCAGCAGUGGGGAAUCUUGCACAAUGGGGGAAACCCUGAUGCAGCGAUGCCGCGUGAGUGAAGAAGGCCUUUGGGUUGUAAAACUCUUUCGUCGGGGAAGAAAAUGACUGUACCCGAAUAAGAAG